CCCACACUGGGAGCGCCGCCGUGGGAACGACGGCGAUUGGGUAAGUACAUAAUAUCGUUGUGACGGUUCAGGACCGUCAGCGGUAAAAUACCAAUGACGCUCCUGAACCGUCCACGGUCGCAAAGGGGUUAAUGUCUUCCCUUUUUGGUGUGCUUUCUCUAUGUUGACUGCCAGGUGUAAGGGAAAUAUUGAUAACUAUGAUUGACAGGAGGCACCCCAUUAAAGUGAGAUGUGGCUUUCUAGAUUUAAAGGAACGCUUCAGUAUUUGGAAUACAAAGCUGUCCUCUGCCCUCCCCCAACACCAGCAAAUAAAGGUAUAAUACCCUUUUUACACCACCCUAAUUCCAGCUCUGAGGAACUUAAUGAGC